rnacentral:tRNA from 1 species
GUAAUUCAAUGAAGGCCAGAGCUGGCGCGGCUUGCAGAGGAUUUUAAACGGUAAAAUGGGGGGGCGGAGGUUCGAAUCCUCUCAUGCCGACCA